GAGACACCCUUAUGGAACAGGACUUGCUUCGGUGGAGCUUUGGUGUUCACUGAGUCUGCUCCUUGAGUGUGUCACU
rnacentral:pre_miRNA from 1 species